ACCAAAAUAGCAGCAUCUCAAAUUUAUUUCCUCAACCACCACAUGGUGUUUUCUCUCUUCAUAGCAUCCAUAGAAUACAAAAGACAUUAGUAAGAACCAAUGAAAAGAAAGAAGAAGGGAUAAAUUCUAAAGUUGUUUAUCAAAGAUUUUCUUUCUUUCAUAUUUGGACUUGGCAAUAACAAUCCAGUGAGUUUGAAUAUGCCUCUGUCAUACCCCUAAAUUUUCCCUCCCCUUUUCACUUUUCAUCUGACUUUUGUUUUUGAUUCAUCUGCAUUCUCUUAGUUAUCUAAGUAAUUCAUUCAUAAUCGCACCUAUUUUUCUUUUAAAACAUCAUUGAUUCAAAGGUUUACUAUUUAUGGUGAAGAGCAUUGGAUUAUGAAUACUGCAUGGGAAAGGGUUUCAUGAUGCAAUUGCUAAUCAAGUCUAUGAUUCAUUGUGCUACAUCUUGAUUGCUUGGACACCACAUGUUUGAGAUUCAUCUGGGAGAAACCCAAAUUCUUUGUACAAUCUUGGGAUGGCGUCAUGGAAUAGGUGAUUGUGAAAGGCACUGUUAAAACAUGGCUUUUGAUGAUCAUGUUCUUAUAAGGUGACAUUUAGUGAUUACUAAUGAUCAUUUCUUGAUUCAUAUUAUGGCAUUCAUACAAGAUCAAGUUUCAUUCAUAAAGCAAGUUCAAUUCCAGUGCAAAAUUUCAAAUGCAAUUUGGAGGGAAAAGUAUAUCUGAAAGAAUAGGUCACAUGCCAUAAUUCAAAGGUCAAAACUCAUUACAAACAUUACAAGUUUCAUUACAAGAUAUACAAAGCCGAGUUCUAUACAAAAAUACACAUUAUUGACUUUAAGUUGACUUUAGUCAACUGAUGACUUUUUGAUCUAUAUUUGACCAAAGUCAAACUAAAUACCCUAACCUCUAAGUCCACUUUGGUAUUCUCUUUUCAAAGAGUUCUUCCACCAUGUCAUGAUUUGCCUUCAUGAUUCUUUUGACUCCAUGAAUUUUGGUCCAUGUAUUCAAAUAAGCCACCACAUUUUUCUUUAAGGACUUCAAAU
rnacentral:lncRNA from 1 species